rnacentral:rRNA from 1 species
AGCGAACGCUGGCGGCAGGCCUAGCACAUGCAAGUCGAACGAAGUCUUCGGACUUAGUGGCGGACGGGUGAGUAACACGUGGGAACGUGCCUUUAGGUUCGGAAUAACUCAGGGAAACUUGUGCUAAUACCGAAUGUGCCCUUCGGGGGAAAGAUUUUUCGCCUUUAGAGCGGCCCGCGCCUGAUUAGCUAGUUGGUGUGGUAAAGGCUUACCAAGGCGACGAUCAGUAGCUGGUCUGAGAGGAUGAUCAGCCACAUUGGGACUGAGACACGGCCCAAACUCCUACGGGAGGCAGCAGUGGGGAAUCUUGCGCAAUGGGCGAAAGCCUGACGCAGCCAUGCCGCGUGAAUGAUGAAGGUCUUAGGAUUGUAAAAUUCUUUCACCGGGGACGAUAAUGACGGUACCCGGAGAAGAAGCCCCGGCUAACUUCGUGCCAGCCGCCGCCGUAAUAC